GUCUCUUCUAAACUCUGUCAGAGUUACCCCAGAAGAACAGAGUUGUCUGCAGCUGGACAAGAAUCAACCACAAAGGGAUCUUGAUUUUGUUCAUCGUUAAUUCCAACUCAACAGAUGAAGUCUGGCUAUCAUUGUCACCUUCACAGUUUGCCUUUGUAUUAUGUGAAUCUCAUGUACUCAAUUAACAAUCUGAUUAGCAAGUU